rnacentral:lncRNA from 1 species
UGAGGAUUUUAUUAAUGGUGUACAUUUGAUAACGUGAAGGAGGUUCAAGGUUGUUGUGGAUAAGAGCUUUUCAUGUUAUUUCUCACUUUCUUUUUUUCUUAUUCAUGUUGAGAGAGAGAGAGAGAGAGAGAGUGAGAGAGAGAGAGAGGGAUACCAAAUGUGAGAUCUUUGUAUUUGGAAAUGGAGUAUUAAAAUGAAGAAAAAAAAGUGGAAUGUCUUUUUUAUUUGGGUGGAGAGUUGAAAGAGGAUAUAGGGAAUUGAUGAAUGUCUACAUGAAAA